AAUGAACGCUGGCGGCAUGCCUAACACAUGCAAGUCGAACGAAGGCUUCGGCCUUAGUGGCGCACGGGUGCGUAACGCGUGGGAAUCUGCCCUCAGGUUCGGAAUAACAGCGAGAAAUUGCUGCUAAUACCGGAUGAUAUCGCGAGAUCAAAGAUUUAUCGCCUGAGGAUGAGCCCGCGUAGGAUUAGCUAGUUGGUGUGGUAAAGGCGCACCAAGGCGACGAUCCUUAGCUGGUCUGAGAGGAUGAUCAGCCACACUGGGACUGAGCACACGGCCCAGACUCCUACGGGAGGCAGCAGUGGGGAAUAUUGGACAAUGGGCGAAAGCCUGAUCCAGCAAUGCCGCGUGAGUGAUGAAGGCCUUAGGGUUGUAAAGCUCUUUUACCCGGGAUGAUAAUGACAGUACCGGGAGAAUAAGCUCCGGCUAACUCCGUGCCAGCAGCCGCAGUAA
rnacentral:rRNA from 1 species